UUUGUUGCUUUCGCUGCUGCCGAGUGGAUGUUUGUUUCUCAGUUCGCUGCUGAUGAGCUGCUUUUGCUUUUGCUUUUUGCCUGCAUGCUUUUUGCGCCGUGCUUUCUGGCUGGCAGUUGGAUCGUGUCCGCGUGCUCGUAAUCUGCUCGCUGAAGACGCGUUGUAAAUUGUCUGACAAAGCUUAUUUUAUUAAUUUAAGCCAUAAACGCUGGCCUCUCCGACGCUGGAAGCCCGCCUGCCUGCAGCUCCUCUUUGCCUUUGCAUAUACAUACCCCCGAUCACCGAUUCGGGAUGUCCAGCACCCUCGACUUCGUUCGACUCCCCGAUUCCGCUGCGGAAAACCGCUUCGGGUUUCGAAUCAGUUCCAUACCCGGCACCAAUUUAUUGCCAUCGUAAAAAGCCGUUUUGCGUUUUAAUAAGCCAUGUUCGGCUCUUUCGUUUCGGUUGUUAACAGAAGGCGUCGACCAUUUCUCUGUCUUUGCUCAUUUUUUAGUCUUCUGCAUUCUUCGUGCAUAACUGAGAACAUGGACUGGUGUUUUGGUGUCCGGCGAACUGAAAGUGCCAAGAAAUUGGCCAAUUGAGUGACACUGUUUUAUGGAAUGCCAAACUUAGGAUAAGCGACUUGGGCGACGGAGGAAAAAUGUGCACCUGUCCCAAGGGCUUGUUGGGAUUUUAAUGAAUUUCCCGCAUAUAUUGCCUAAAUUACGGAAAUAAAGAAAGAACACCUUCCUUGCCUGCGAGUCAAGUAACCAAGCUGACCCCCAGUUGACCCUUACAGUCCCACUUGAUCUCGAGUGUGGGUUGCUGUGGAUUAGGGGGAAUUGUGGGGAGAGGCGGAAGCAACUCCCACCGCCAGUAUCCAGCACAUAAUAAAAAUAAAUAUGUCAAAAUUAAGUAAGCAGCAACAAUUUCCAGGCAGAUAAGAAACGCACACAAGAAGUAAUAAAAGUGCGAGGGGCGGCGGAGGAGAGCAUCGAAAACCCUUUGCUGGCCAUAAAACAAGGCGUUGAAAACAGUAAAAAAUUGGCAAGAGCCAACUGGGAUUCUGCUGAGCAAACAACCUGGCCAGCCCAUCAAGAUGCCAGACGAAGUCCAGCUGCAGGUCCUGUUGGCCAUCCUCAGCCACAGCUUGGCCAACAUCCACAUCCACAUUCACGUCCACGUCCAUGGGCGAUGGGCAUGAAAAUCGUUUACAAAUAAAUCAGAAAGCGAUAAAUAAGGAUUUUGUCUCGUAAUAACUCAGCGGGAGCCAUUUAACAUGCAAUCAUAACGAAUCGAUGCUGAACGCUUUAGCAGACGGACAGAAUCCAGACGGACCCCAAAACCAGGCCCAAGACCACAAACCCAUCUCCAAAUGCCUGCGAAUUGGAUGCACUACAAGAAACUUUGUGCUCUAAGUGUCGAAUGGAAUCUGAAUCUGGAUCGGAGGUUGGCAACACGCUUUCACACCAGGCAGUCGCCAAGUGGCUGGAUUGGGAUUGGGAUUGGUAUUGGGAACGGGAAAGGGACUUUUGGCCAGAAUGACAAGUGGCAAGCAAGUGUGUGUCGAAUUGUUGUUGACUUGCUGCAGUUGUCGCUGUUGGUUGUUGUUCCCUUGUUCUUUUUCUGCCUGAUCCUGUUGUCGUUCCCGCCCGGGGCAUGGAAAUAAAGUUGCAACUUGGUCGAUUCUCGAUUCUCACCUCCUGGCAAGGCAGUUGAGUUAGCACAAUGACAGGGGCGUUGGCGAGUGACGUUUUUAACAUGCUUGUUCCUAUCGCGGACUCAAGCGGCAAGAAGGGCUAAGAACAACGCACUACAUGCACUUGGGUGCACUUCAUAAUUCGCAGCGACGCCAACAACAAUGCUGCUUAAUUAUGUUGUAAAACAAUCUGGCGAGCCGUCACUUUGGAGGAGCAGGUCCUUCAGCGACUUCCUUACGCCCACUCCCACUUUCUGGCUAAUAACUCAGCCAGCCAACAAGGGGAAGUAAUUAAAAUUACAAAAGCCCUGCGUUGACGUUGAGGCCUUUUGCCAUAAAAUGGCUGCCAGACACGCAGGGCGUAUACGUGAUUCCCAUGACUAAUUGCCAGAACUGUGUCACAGGAAACGAGCUGGCUCGAUGGCCCGAUGGCUUGGUGGCUCAAUGGCUCCAGCUCUAGCUCCAGCUCCACUCGGGGAUCUCGGCUUAUGGGGUCAGGCACGCAGGUCUUAUCGCGAUGCAGUUGCAGUUAGCUGUGGCUAACAAGAAAUUAAAUUCCAUUAAGCCCGCUCAGAAUGGCGCACAGUGGCUAAGGAUCAUUAGUUUUUUCGUGACAAUGCUAUGAUUUCUUUUUAAUUGUUCUAAUAUUUUAAAGUAAUCAAAUUCUUUAUUCAUUUACCUAUUUUUC